rnacentral:misc_RNA from 1 species
UGAUUUCACAAAAGGACAAGUU